rnacentral:lncRNA from 10 species
ACUGGGGAGCAAAGCCUUAUUUACACGAUACUGACACAUGGUAGGACUGUUCAGCAUUCCUUGGGGAAGUACUUUCCAGUGAAAUCAGGGAGCUGGGCCUUCAUUAUUGAUAGCUGGUAUUGUAAACGUAAAUUUUUCUCUGUCCUGUUUUGCAAGGAGAAUAGUAUGAAAGCAGUCUUUUAAGUCAAUAAUGACUCAAAACUCGAGGAAUCACUGCGGGGGGAAGGGAGCCCCUGUGGAAGGGGCCCCAUAGGUUGCAAAUUAGCAUUGAUAGCCUGUAAGUCAUGCAGAACUCUCCAUUUACCAGACUUUAUGGGAAUGACAAAAAAUGGGUGAAUUCCAAGGGCUGUCUGCUGGUUCUAUAUGGCUGGCUUUUAAUUGUUCCUCAAUUAAUUCAUGGGUUUGUUGUAAUUUCUCUCCCUUUAAAGGUCACCGUUCUACCCAAAUUGGAUCUUGAGACAGCCAUGUCAGGGGUAGGGGAGGACUUACAACAGUGGCCACUAUUAGAAAGGGCUCUGCAUAGUGACCCCCCCAUUGGGCUAAUAAGGUCCCAUUCCCAAAGAUGAACAGGGAUGGGCAUGAUUAGAGGUUGUAUAGUUGCUUUUCUUCCCUCCAAAUCGUGACUUUAGAGGGCGUGCACUCUGCUUGGCUGUGUGCACUUCUCCAGUGCCGACAAUUUUCUGUUUCUGAGUGACCCAUAUGUUUUACCCAGCCAAUUGAUUCUGGUUGGUUUGUCAUUCACACAACUCAUCAUAUUCUGCCAUCCAGAGGAGGUAUUGACUGGCCUCUAAAGUUGUUUGAGCUAGCACUGACCUGUCCCAUGGGAUCAUAAGGAAGUUGUCUGCUAUGGCCUCAAUUAAUCCUUUUGUAGAUGGGCUAGCAGCUCUGUUUUCUCUAAUGCUUUUUCUUAUCUCUUUAUAGGUGUUGAAAGUGAUGGGCUCAUAUACCUGAUUGCCGUGUUGAUCUUGCAUCACAGGGCAGGCCAAGAGCUCCCCUUCUAAUGCCACUUGCCUAAGACAGGGUCCCGUAACUGUAGUGUAUCCCUUGUCUUUUUUUCCAAUUUAUUGGAGGAGGGGGCUCAGGGAAACUCUGUCUCCUCUGUGGCACCUUUACCUAGUAACAGUGGGGCUGAGGGAGGAGGAGGCGGUCAGGUAGGUGGAUGGUUCCUCUUCCCUUUCCUUUUUAGGCUCUUUUGUGUAGAGUGGGGCCAAAGCAGCCCUGAUUAAGGCCCAUAACGUUAAAGAUGUUACUGGGACCCGUUUCCCUUGUGCAUGAUGUUAUUUAAGAUUUCCCCUCACUUGCUCCCAGAGUUCUUGGUCUAACGUGCCUUCUUCUGGGAACCAUGGGUUAUUGAAAACAACAGUUUGCAUUAGGCCCCUUAACUGAGCCUCCGAGACCCAGGCUCUGCUAGCUUUAAGCAGCUGUUUCAAUACUUACAUAUAGUGUUGCUGUUGAGCUGAUAACUGUUGUCCCAUGAUGAAACCCUAGGUUGAAAAUUCCCUCAAACUUGGAAAUCCUGAGUGGGCACCAAUUACUUACUUCCCGCACAGUCUCUUCACCUCAUUUUUGGGGGUUCCAUCGUGAUCUGUUGCAGCAUUCCUCACACAGGGCACCAGUUGCUGGGUCUGUCCCACAGACCCUGGCUGGACGAUGGAUGAAACGAGUACUCAGACGCAGAUAUGCAGUGUAAGAGCAGCUAGGGGACUGCUUGGCACUAGCGGCCAAAGAGUGAGCAGGCAAACAGCUGGAGCUGCUUGCUUUUAUUCAGUAUAGACAUAAUGCUGAAAGCCUGGAGCAAAAACAAUCUGUGGGUAAUUAACAUUAUUGUUCCCCUUUCAGGGAACGGGUCACGCAUGUGGAUGAUCAAAGGUCAGCUCCUGGUCAAUAUGAGAAGACUGGUUUCAGAAAAGUUGAGUGCUGAAGACUACAAAGCUGUUUGUAAGUUAUCAAGCUAGGAUUUGAUCCCAGGUCUGCCUGAUAAAUCCUGGACUCUUAACCAUGACAUAGGAGUGCCCUCUUGACUCCUAUGAUGGCAUAAAGAAUUGUAUCAGAACGGGUAAUCUGGCAUUAAAACCCCUGUGCCAC